rnacentral:rRNA from 1 species
UGUUGUUUUGGCGGGANAACUCCUCCGGUGUUCCGCCGGGGGGGUCGUCCCGGGGCGCGGUGUGCCCCCGGGGCCCGUGCCCGCCAGAGGCACUCACUGUGAACGCUUUUGUGAAUGCGAGGAUUGUCUGAGUGACGAAAUGCAAUCGUUCAAAACUUUCAACAAUGGAUCUCUUGGUUCCGGCAUCGAUGAAGAACGCAGCGAAAUGCGAUAAGUAAUGUGAAUUGCAGAAUUCCGUGAAUCAUCGAAUCUUUGAACGCACAUUGCGCCCUCUGGUAUUCCGGGGGGCAUGCCUGUCCGAGCGUCAUUGCGAACCCUCAAGCACGGCUUGUGUGUUGUGCCGCCGUCCCCUCGUUUGGAAGGGACGGGCCUGAAAGGCAGCGGCGGCGUCGCGCCCGGUCCUCUAGCGUAUGGGGCUCUGUCACGCGCUCAAGGAAGGGU